GAAAGAAUUUCGGUGAAGGAUGGGCAUGCGUCGCAUUAGUUAGUUGGCGGUGUAACGGACCACCAAGACGACGAUGCGUAGGGGUUCUGAGAGGAAGGUCCCCCACACUGGUACUGAGACACGGACCAGACUCCUACGGGAGGCAGCAGUGAGGAAUAUUGGUCAAUGGCCGAGAGGCUGAACCAGCCAAGUCGCGUGAGGGAAGAAUGUCCUAUGGAUUGUAAACCUCUUUUGUCAGGGAGCAAAGUCACCCACGUGUGGGUGUUGGAGAGUACCUGAAGAAAAAGCAUCGGCUAACUCCGUGCCAGCAGCCGCGGUAAUACGGAGGAUGCGAGCGUUAUCCGGAUUUAUUGGGUUUAAAGGGUGCGUAGGCGGGUUAUCAAGUCAGCGGUAAAAUCGUGGAGCUCAACUCCAUCCAGCCGUUGAAACUGAUGAUCUUGAGUGGGCGAGAAGUAUGCGGAAUGCGUGGUGUAGCGGUGAAAUGUAUAGAUAUCACGCAGAACUCCGAUUGCGAAGGCAGCAUACCGGCGCCCGACUGACGCUGAAGCACGAAAGCGUGGGUAUCGAACAGGAUUAGAUACCCUGGUAGUCCACGCAGUAAACGAUGAAUACUAAUUGUGUGCUCCGAAUGAGGAGUGC
rnacentral:rRNA from 1 species